GAUGAACGCUGGCGGCGUGCCUAAUACAUGCAAGUCGAGCGAACAGACGAGGAGCUUGCUCCUCUGACGUUAGCGGCGGACGGGUGAGUAACACGUGGAUAACCUACCUAUAAGACUGGGAUAACUUCGGGAAACCGGAGCUAAUACCGGAUAAUAUAUUGAACCGCAUGGUUCAAUAGUGAAAGACGGUUUUGCUGUCACUUAUAGAUGGAUCCGCGCCGCAUUAGCUAGUUGGUAAGGUAACAGCUUACCAAGGCAACGAUGCGUAGCCGACCUGAGAGGGUGAUCGGCCACACUGGAACUGAGACACGGUCCAGACUCCUACGGGAGGCAGCAGUAGGGAAUCUUCCGCAAUGGGCGAAAGCCUGACGGAGCAACGCCGCGUGAGUGAUGAAGGUCUUCUGAUCGUAAAACUCUGUUAUUAGGGAAGAACAAAUGUGUAAGUAACUAUGCACGUCUUGACGGUACCUAAUCAGAAAGCCACGGCUAACUACGUG
rnacentral:rRNA from 1 species